CUUUUCCCCUGGCUCCCCACACUGAUUUCUCUGUCUCUGGAGGGAGUUGGAGGCUGUAGGGUGCUGGAGGCCUCCAUGGGUCUUUGUCCUGGAAAUCACUAGGUUCCUCCCCGCUGCUCAGCCCACGUUGAUGACCUCCUUUCCCCAAGAUCAGAGGAGCACCGUGAAGGGAGUCCAGACCUGCUGCCACCAUGUGACUCUGGGUGACUCAUUUCCCCUCUAGGACCUUCGUUCCCUUGAGGUUUAGCGGGUGGGAUGGACUGGACAGUCCUGGAAGGCUUUGCUCCAGUGGAGAGCGCAGCUGGGUGAAGGUUCUCCUCUCAGGUCUGAACUAGCAGAAGAACCAUGUUUGGGAAGACCAACGUCAAACAUGGCCAAAACCAACAAGCCUGGUCAUAACUACUCUUUGUAUUUUGAUUUCUUCUGUGUUUGGCUUCAACAUAGCAUGGUGGCAGAGCCGUGCAGGGGACAGCAUUGGUCAAAGGAAGCUCCAAGACCCGAAUUCAUGCCCUGCUCCACCCUCGAUGGGCAGUGUUAUCAGGGGUAAGCCACUGUUUUCUCAGAGGCCUCAGUUUGCUCAUCCCUGAAAGCAGACAUUUGAGCUGUGUGUGGUGGGGCAUUGGCGCAUGCCUGUAGCCAGAAGUUGAGGCAGGAGGAUCACAAGUUCAAGACCAGCCUGGGCAAGUUGGUGAUACCCUGUCUCAAAAUAAAAGGGAGCUGGCGAAGUAGGUCAGUGGCAGAGUGUACCUGGGGUCAAUCUUCAGUACUACUGGAGAGAGAGAGAGAGAGAGAGAGAGAGAGAGAGAGAGAGAGAGAGAGAGAGAGAGACUGACUCUGAUUGAUUUAGUACUUUCCCAAUUAAUUCGACAGAUUUCUCAGAGUCUUCGGGAGGGUGCCUGGCCUGGGCCUGGGUGGGAGAUAGAAAGGUGAAUGGACAGGAGGAGCUACUUGAGGCCUGGUAGGAGACUGCGAGGUAACAGGCAUUUGUGAUGUACUGUUGCAGUAUUAGUGUUCUAUUUCAUUAAAAAUAUUUUUUGUAGUUGUAGGUGGACAAAAUGCCUUUAUUUUGUUUAUUUUAUUUUUUUUUUAACAUCAGAAAUUUAUUAGUUGCUCAAAACAUUACAUUGAUCUUGACAUAUAUUUUUAUGUGGUGCUGAGAAUCAAACCCAGUGCCUCAUGCAUGCUAUGCAAGCGCUCUACCACUGAGCUACAGCCCCAGCCCCAGUAUUGGUGUUCUUAAGGAACACAACUGGAAUUAUUAAGAAGGGUUGGUUCUACAAUCUUCAAUACCCUCUUUCUUCUUGGCUAGAAAAUGCUUGCUAUAAAAUUCAGUUCUAGGGCUGGGAAUGUGGCCCAGUGGUGGUCACUUGCAAAGCAUGUACAAGGCCCUGGGUUUGAUCCCUAGUAUCACAAAAAUAAAGAAAGAAAAUUCAGCAACAAAUAGCUACAGCCCACGUUCUCAAGCAAAAGGUGGUCAGACUCUAUCCAGUCCCAGAACCAAAUGAGACCAGUCUAGUAUAAAUUGGUCACCUGGCCACUGAGCUUUCUGUUAGGAUGUUAAAGAAGUCUGGGCUUGUAUGAGAAUACAAGUGCAGUGGAAUGAACAGAGGGGGAAGGCCCACACAGACCUGCAGGAAUGAGCAGGGAGACAUUCCCAAGCCAUGCGGAAAGGAGGGUUUGGGUAUUAGAUCAGCAGUGCAAACAGCUGGCCAAGUGCUUGGGAAGUGAUGAAGUCACAUCUCGGCCUCACGUCCCUCAUUCAAGGUGCAAAUAGAGAUUAAAGUGUUACAUGGUGGCACAGGAGGCUGAGGCAGGACAAUUGAAAGUUCAAAGCCAGCCCCAGCAACUUAGUGAAGUCCUAAGCAACUUAGUGAGAUCCUGUUUUAAAAUAAAAAAGUAAAAAGGACUGGGGAUGUAGCCCAGGGGUUAAGUGCCUCUGGGUUCAAUUCCUGGUAGCCAAAAAAAAAAAAAAGGAGUUACAUGUAAAUCAACUAAAAAUUAGAAAACAGCAUCCAACAUUAGAGAAUUGGUUAAAUUAUUGUAUAUCAAUACAAUGGACUAUUAUGUAGUUAUUAAAGCCAUGUUUUAGAAGAAUCAUCAAUGCUUACAACCUACCAUUAAGUAAAAUAGUAGAUUACAAAAAAUGUCUUUUGACCACAGCUUUGUAGUUCAGUUCCCCAUGAGACAUAUGAGAUUGUGUACUUGCACAAACACACAUUUGAGGUGUAUAUAAGUCCACAUGUACACACAUACAAAAGUCUGUAAUAAAACACUGAAAUGAUAACAUUGAUUUUUCUCAGGGGAUAGCAGGUAAUUUUUACAUAUACACACUUCUGUGUUUUUCCCCAAGUAUUCCACAUUAAAGACACGCUACUUUUAUAACACUGGAAAAUACAUGUUAUUUAGAAAAUUGUUUUAUAAUAGCUCUAAUAUUAAAAUAAUUAAAACACUUUGAUAAAGAAAAGUGAAGACAAAUUCAGGGAGCAGACCCUGUGAAGACUGGGAAUCCACUGUAUUGAGCCAUCCUAUUUUUCCCAGGACGGUUCCAUGGAUCAACCAAACACAACUUUGUAAUUGCUCUGGCACCUGACACGGGACACCUGACGCCUGGCCUUCUCUGGAGAGGAAAAUUCUGUCCCACUGUGGGAAAACCACCGCUGUGAGCAGAAGAUGGCUCAGGGGUGGCCAAGCUAGUCUUGUAUCCAUUUCCAG
rnacentral:lncRNA from 1 species